GUGGGGAAUAUUGGACAAUGGGCGAAAGCCUGAUCCAGCCAUGCCGCGUGUGUGAAGAAGGUCUUCGGAUUGUAAAGCACUUUAAGUUGGGAGGAAGGGCAGUAAGUUAAUACCUUGCUGUUUUGACGUUACCGACAGAAUAAGCACCGGCUAACUUCGUGCCAGCAGCCGCGGUAAUACGAAGGGUGCAAGCGUUAAUCGGAAUUACUGGGCGUAAAGCGCGCGUAGGUGGUUUUGUAAGUUGGAGGUGAAAUCCCCGGGCUCAACCUGGGAACUGCCUCCAAAACUGCAUGACUAGAGUACGGUAGAGGGUAGUGGAAUUUCCUGUGUAGCGGUGAAAUGCGUAGAUAUAGGAAGGAACACCAGUGGCGAAGGCGACUACCUGGACUGAUACUGACACUGAGGUGCGAAAGCGUGGGGAGCAAACAGGAAUAGAAACCCGAGUAGUCC
rnacentral:rRNA from 1 species